AGUGAACGCUGGCGGCGUGGUUAAGACAUGCAAGUCGAACGGGACAACAAGUGUAGCAAUACAUUUGUUGUUCAGUGGCGAACGGGUGCGUAACACGUGAACAAUCUACCUCAAAAUGGGGAAUAGCUCGCCGAAAGGCGAAUUAAUACCGCAUGUGGUCUGGGCUCGCAUGAGCCCUGAACUAAAGUCAGGGACCGCAAGGCCUGACGUUUUGAGAGGAGUUCGCGGCCUAUCAGCUAGUUGGCGAGGUAACGGCUCACCAAGGCUAAGACGGGUAGCUGGUCUGAGAGGAUGAUCAGCCACACUGGAAAUGAGACACGGUACAGACACCUACGGGUGGCAGCAGUUUCGAAUCAUUCACAAUGGGCGAAAGCCUGAUGGUGCGACGCCGCGUGAGGGAUGAAGGUCUUCGGAUUGUAGACCUCUGUCACCGGGGAAGAAACGCUUCAGGUUAAUAGUCUGAAGCCUGACUUAACCCGGUGAGGAAGCAGUGGCUAACUCUGUGCCAGCAGCCGCGGUAA
rnacentral:rRNA from 1 species